rnacentral:rRNA from 1 species
GACGAACGCUGGCGGCGUGCUUAACACAUGCAAGUCGAACGGAAAGGCCCUGCUUUUGUGGGGUGCUCGAGUGGCGAACGGGUGAGUAACACGUGAGUAACCUGCCCUUGACUUUGGGAUAACUUCAGGAAACUGGGGCUAAUACCGGAUAGGAGCUCCUGCUGCAUGGUGGGGGUUGGAAAGUUUCGGCGGUUGGGGAUGGACUCGCGGCUUAUCAGCUUGUUGGUGGGGUAGUGGCUUACCAAGGCUUUGACGGGUAGCCGGCCUGAGAGGGUGACCGGCCACAUUGGGACUGAGAUACGGCCCAGACUCCUACGGGAGGCAGCGGUGGGGAAUAUUGCACAAUGGGCGGAAGCCUGAUGCAGCAACGCCGCGUGCGGGAUGACGGCCUUCGGGUUGUAAACCGCUUUCGCCUGUGACGAAGCGUGAGUGACGGUAAUGGGUAAAGAAGCACCGGCUAACUACGU